rnacentral:rRNA from 1 species
GAUGAACGCUGGCGGCGUGCCUAAUACAUGCAAGUCGAGCGAACAGACGAUGAGCUUGCUCCUCUGACGUUAGCGGCGGACGGGUGAGUAACACGUGGAUAACCUACCUAUUAGACUGGGAUAACUUCGGGAAACCGGAGCUAAUACCAGAUAAUAUAUUGAACCGCAUGGUUCAAUAGUGAAAGACGGUUUUGCUGUCACUUAUAGAUGGAUCCGCGCCGCAUUAGCUAGUUGGUAAGGUAACGGCUUACCAAGGCGACGAUGCGUAGCCGACCUGAGAGGGUGAUCGGCCACACUGGAACUGAGACACGGUCCAGACUCCUACGGGAGGCAGCAGUAGGGAAUCUUCCGCAAUGGGCGAAAGCUUGACGGAGCAACGCCGCGUGAGUGAUGAAGGUCUUCGGAUCGUAAAGCUCUGUUAUUAGGGAAGAACAAAUGUGUAAGUAACUAUGCACGUCUUGACGGUACCUAAUCAGAAAGCCACGGCUAACUACGUG